rnacentral:misc_RNA from 1 species
UCUCCGUAGGUGAACCUGCGGAGGGAUCAUUAACGAAUGGCCGUCAGGCCAUCGCACUUCAAGCCCGUGGAUGAGGAAUGUGGCUCGACGACCCGUCCGGUCGUCGCAAUUAUGCAGAUAUGUCGUGGGCGUCAGAAUGAAGACCCAAUGAAUCAAAACUUUCAACAAAGGAUCUCUUGGCUCUC